rnacentral:lncRNA from 1 species
GGCAAGCUGACAUUUGGUUCUGGGACGAAAUUAACUGUUAAUUCAAAAAAAGAAGAACCGCCUGCCUAUUACAAAUUUAAUGAGUCAUGUUUGGCAACCGACUUCACAAAAUAUGAUGAUGUAAAAUUCCAAGACGUUACACCCGUGCGAUAUGCAGAACGAAGUUACUACAGCAGCUUCACCUUUAAUGCUUCAGAAAACUGCCCGCAGAAAGACUGCAAUCAAGGAUCAUCCAGUCAAAAUGCUGAUUUUGAAACGGGUAAGUGUGCUUUUAUUUGCACAUUAAUAGUCUGCUGUGCAUUUCAUUUAAUUUGCGGUCCAUUACUACUAGUCUGUUACUGCCUGUUGUUUGAACCGAAACAUCCAGCACUGUCAAACAUUAACUGCACUCGCAUAGAUUUCAAAUUGUGAAACUACUAGCUUCGGGAAAAAAAAAAAAAAAACAUUAAACACAUUUAAAAAAAAUACUUGAAAGUGCUGGAUUAUACCACAAAAUCCAUGGUAAAACCAAUAGACAUACUAAUUGCAUUUUUAUUCUGCAGAUGAAAAAACCAACUACAUGUCAAUGGGCCUCUAUUGGCUGAGAAUUCUCUUUCUGAAGACUGUUGUGUUCAAUGUCCUGAUGACUUUCAAAGCAUGGAUGAGCUAACGUGAGUGAAAUGUUAUAUCUUGUGACAGUGGGUCUCAUUCACUAACUGCGUGUUAACACAUUUGUGUGUAAAAACUUUUUCAUACAGAAAUCAAGGUUUAUUAAUAAGUUGCAGGAUAACAUUUAGAACCAACUGAAACCACACAUACAAAAAAAAAACGAUUCCUAGCAGACUGUUUUACAGUCAUUUAACAAAAAUGGUUUGCAAAGUUGCAUAGUUUCUAAAAAUGGUCAAUCACGUGUAGUCUAGG